rnacentral:sRNA from 1 species
GCUAUAUCAGGUUAAUGACCUAUUUGGACCGCAAUUAGCAAGCUUCCAGAUUAUCGUCUCAAUGACAUUUGCAUUGCUUUGAAGUUCCACUUCAAAUGAGUCCAUGACUUAUUUUGAUGAUGCAACCUUUACGUUUUUCUUGUUAAUUAACUUGGCCACUAAGAUUCCAGAAGCCGAAGAAAAGCCAGAUGAAAGAAGAAAAUAUUAGAAACUUGAAUGUUUUUUUUUUAUUUUUAGUCUGACACAAACGAAGAACGUCCUUGUUCAUGUUCAAUAUUGUUCUAUGCGCAAAUAUCGCAAUAAUGUUCAUAAUCCUACGAAAUGAAGCCGGCAGCUGAAGACACACAAACCAGUGCAUACGUGUAAUAUAUGAAAAGAAGAAUUUCGUUCACAAAUAUUUUUGAGAGCCCAUAAGUUUAAACAUACUGGCAUAUUUUGUGAUAUUUGUGGCAAACCAUUUAAACAGCUCGGACACAUGAAGCGCCAUAGGCAACGACACACUGGAAUCAAGGAAUUUAAAUGCAAAGAUUGUCCCUGCAAAGGAACUGAAAUCCAAUACCUUUCGUCAUAUUGGUAUGCAAAUUAGUUUGCGAAGUGUAUGGCAAAAAGUUUAGGAAACCUGCAUUAUUGACUGCUCAUAUGUGAAGACAUACCGGCGAGAAACCAGCCGCAAUAUGCGGCAAAAGUUUUUCUCCAUCUACGAUUUAAAUGUCCAUGCUGUUGCCCAUGCCGAUGAACUCCACUUCCAUGUGAUGUCUGCGAGGCUAAGUUUCAACGUAAGAAGGCACUGCGUAUUCACAAACGUAUACAUUCCAAAGAUCGCAGCAAUCAUGUGUGCAAAAUAUGUGGCAAAUCUUUUGCGCAUUCUAGUGGGCUAAAUGCUCUCAUGCGAAUUCAUGACACUACCAUGAAUAAAUUCGAUACUAAACCAUUGACAUCUACACCAUCACUUUACGGAGUGGAAAAUGGAGGAUGACUUGGAAUAAGUUCCAACUGUUCAAUGACCAAAAAGUCCUGUUGCUAAUUUUCACUUGUAAAUUCAUAACAUUGUCAUGAAUGAAGUGGAUACUAAGCCAUUGACAGACAUCACAUAACAGUGUGGACAAAGAUAAAUGAUUCCAAUUCCAAUAUUAAACGAAAAUAAUGUUAUGGCAAUAUGAAAUUACCACCUAAAUUUAGCUUUCUAAUUGUUAUUUACAAACUUUCAUCAGUAAUCAUUUUCGUUGUUGCCGGCAUAAGAAAGACAAAUAAAGACAGUGAGAUUUUUAUUAAGGAAAAUG